GGAAGCAGCAGGCAAGUAAUUUUGGCAGAAUCUUUCUCAAUGAGUUUCUAGUUGUUUUAUUGUUUAUUUAGAGUGCAGGGGCGAGUAAUAAUGAAGAAACUGGCACCAAUAGUUAAGAUUCAGCAAAUUUCCUCUCGCAGCUCUGCCAGCUCUUCACCUUCUACGCAGAAUGGAAAGAGAAACAAAAGCUGGAAGAAUUGGCAGUGGAUUUUAACUGUAAGAAAUAUCAAAGUUCUCAAGCUGAAGGAGUGUAAGAAGGCCUCACACCAAAUGAAUGGGGAAGGUCACCAUGGAAACAUUUGUCUCUCUAGCUGACUCACUGCAACCCCCGUAACUGCGGAACCACAUCCUGUCUGCCAUCUGAAUUGCACUGGGUGAAGCCAGAGAUUUGGCAUCGCCUAUAGAACCAUAUUCUGUUUAAAAGCUAUUUAAAAUCUAUGCCAAGGAAACAUUCCUCAGACUCGGGGUAAAAACACCAUCUGAGAUGGGUUUAAGUGGGUGAUGCCAGGCAAUUACUCGUUAACACCUCUUAAUAAACACACGCAGUAAACAUUACCUGUGGUUUUCCAGCUCCCAGUUACUGCACGAUGUUGUAGUUUCUGGAAGCGCCCAUGUAGGAAGUGAGCAAAACACCCGCACUCUCACAUUUCAGAAAGGAUUCUCCUCAGGGUUAGUGUGCUCUCUCAACCUGUAUCACAGUGAACUGGAGGGGAAUAAAAAGGUCUUUGCUG
rnacentral:lncRNA from 1 species